AUGUGUAUCCCAAAGAGAUUUGGUGGAAUGGGCUCGAGGGAUAUCCACUAUUUUAACCUUGUCUUGUUAGCUAAGCAAGCUUGGCGACUAAUUGAGAACCUUGAUUCUCUCUGUGCUACUGUGUUGCGUGCAAGGUACCUCCCAUCAGGAGAUUUGUUGAACGCGGAGUUGAAGAAAGGGAGCUCUUUUACAUGGCAAAGUAUAUGGGCUAGAAUUAAUACAUUAAAAAGUGGUCAUAUAUGGCGUGUAGGAGAUGGAACUAAUAUUGAUAUCUGGAAAGACAAAUGGAUUCCAAAUAGUGCAUCACGUAAAUUUAUAAUGGGUCAGAACAUCCUUAGUAGGGUCCUUAUUGAUCCUAUCACAAAUCACUGGGAUGUGGAUUUAGUGAGGCGGACCUUUUUUCAAGUGGAUGUUCAAAGGAUUCUUGCUAUCCCUUUACCAUUUUCUGGCAUGCAAGAUUUUGUUGCUUGGAACCUGACUCGUACAAACACCUUUUCUGUGCACUCGGCAUAUUAUGCAGAAUGGAAGGGCUAA
rnacentral:rRNA from 1 species